CCACUAGUGAGGUCCGGAGAGAGUAGAGUAUACGGAGACCUUACCCCUACCCCGAAAAGGGCAGAUAGGCUGAAUCUAGGAGACUCUAGGCUCAACAGGAAAAGCAAUAAUAUCAUAAAAGAAACAAGAGAAAAGACAUGUAAUAAUAAAGGAUACCAUAAAGAAAAUAACCACAACAAAUAAGUGAAAGGACAAUAACACAAAACUUUACAAAACACCAAUGUAAGUACAACAAAGACCGCUAACAAACCUAAUGAAACUCUAACAGCCUACUCGAUACAAGGAGGGAAGAAAUCUCGACUACCCCCUAUCCUACCACCCUAAUGCUCGGGCUCCACAUGUUCUUAUCAAGAGACAUGUCCU
rnacentral:lncRNA from 1 species